AACUUCAAAUCUACAUCCUGACAUGGUGAGGGUGCAAACGGGUCUUGUAGUUGCAUACAAUAUAGCACUUAGUAUUUCCAUGACCCGGAUGACAGAGAACCUUCAUCAGCGUGUUUUUCAGGAGUGUCUAAUAGUGAGGCGAGGAGAACAUCAUGAGCCCAAGCUGGAGGAUUAAAUGUUUUCUACCUUCAGUGGAUGCAUGGGGAUUGCAGUGCUCGUGCUGCAUGAUUUGACAGCUAAUCCUGGAUGGUGUCCCACUGCUGUACCACGAGUUUGCCACUGGAUAACUCCUUGGAAUGUCAAGUGUGGGGGUUUGGGCUGCAGUCAACCCCUACUUGACUGGAAUUGAGCAAGAUCCCGUUAUCAUCUCUAUUAUUAAUGGCGAUACUGCUGCCAUGCUGCCACUGUUAUCUGCUCCAUCACUGGCUUCAGGCUGACAGAGCAGUUUGAUGCCUGCAUUAAUAGAAACAUCAUGAUGCUGCUGAAUUUGUUUAAUCCAGCUGAGGGGACUGUCGCAGAGAGCCACUACGAUGAAAUGCAGCAAAAGCUCAACAGCAGACUCUCAGGGUCAGAGGUCGUUCAAGGGCUGACCUCAGCACCUGCAACCUGAGGAUGAGACUUGGUCUUACAUGAGGAGUGAUCAGCCCUCUGAUUGUCUUGGUCAUCUUUGUGUUUUACAUUGUCAACAAAGUCAGAGACAAGCUGACAUACCUGGAAUCCAAACUUGGUAUGUUUCACAUGUGUCGUUGGCUAUUUAACUCCAAAAAUGUUUAAGUCUUGUUUCAUAUUUACAGGCAGACUUCCAAGGUUUGGAGACAUUAUCUUAUUAUUUCUGCUUUAAUUGACCUUUUCCCUUAAAAAAAAAAUAGGACAUGUAAUUUGUCAACA